AAGGCUGUGCUUUCAGGGAUCAUUUUUCUAGUUGGUGACUGGAGAAAAGUGGCUAUAAAAGCUUGGUCUCGCUAGCCACAAUGAAGAACUGUGGUGUUUCUUUCUGAGCAUGAUACUGGUAGAGAGCGCUGUUCUAUGAUAGCUGCUUUCUGCUGUGAAAAAGUGUUCUGCUCUUUCUUAGAAGAGCAGGGUGAAAAAACACACUCUGAGGGGU
rnacentral:snoRNA from 1 species